rnacentral:rRNA from 1 species
UACGCAGGUGACAAGCGUUGUCCGGAUUUACUGGGCGUAAAGGGCGCGUAGGCGGCGCGAGCAGUCGGCGGUGAAAGCCCGGAGCUCAACUCCGGGUCGGCCGUCGAUACUCUCGUGCUUGAGCACUGUAGAGGCAGAUGGAAUUCCGGGUGUAGCGGUGGAAUGCGUAGAGAUCCGGAAGAACACCGGUGGCGAAGGCGGUCUGCUGGGCAGUAGCUGACGCUGAUGCGCGACAGCGUGGGGAGCAAACAGG